rnacentral:tRNA from 1 species
UCCCGCCUGGCGUAAUAGGUUGGGCGCCUGGCAUGGUCAAACCACUCAAGUGCUGGUAACACUUGGGUUGGUACGACAGUCGGUUCGAAUCCGGCGGCGGGAC